rnacentral:rRNA from 1 species
UACGUAGGGUGCAAGCGUUGUCCGGAAUUAUUGGGCGUAAAGAGCUCGUAGGCGGUUUGUUGCGUCGGCUGUGAAAUCCCGAGGCUCAACCUCGGGUCUGCAGUCGAUACGAGCAAACUAGAGUGUUGCAGGGGAGACUGGAAGUUCCUGGUGUAGCGGUGAAAUGCGCAGAGUAUCAGGAGGAACACCGGUGGCGAAGGCGGGUCUCUGG